rnacentral:antisense_RNA from 1 species
AUGCGAGCGGUAAGAGUGCGGCGGGACUUGGAAAUCGAAUCUGUGCUCUGUGAGAGAUCCUAGGAAAGGAAACUGGGAGCCCGGGAGAACUAAAAUUCCCAAUUAAAAGUGAAUUUAAAUCUGAGCUGUUCUUAGACCCAGAAUUUCUUGCCUGAAGGAGGAGUCAGGUCCCCACAAGGAAAGACCCUGCAACUGUAUAAAAAAAGAAUCUAAAAAGAUCAUGACUCCUUCAGUCCUUUCCCAAAGAGACCUAUGGAAAUUUCCUCAGGAAGAGGGACCAAGCAAAACCCCAGAAGAGUUGAUCUCAAAGCUUAUUUUAUGAAGAAAAUUGACCUGAGUGACACAAAGGGUUGGACUGUAGUAGAUGUCACGUUUUGCUGCCUAGAUCUCCAUCCAGGGAUGAACUCUUACUUCCUCAGCUUCUUUGUCUCCUCAGCUUCUGGGAGGGUUGGCAGCUGAUAUUCUCACCUGAGUCCCUUUCUAGGACUUGCCCUUGCCUGAAGAGAGCUGUGCUGCCCAACAUGAUGCCUCCUCCAAGGUACAAUCCACACCCAGUGACUAAUAAACAGGGGUUACAAAGGCAUGCCUGCUUGCCCCAGUUUGGGACAACUUUACCAGGCCAACCCAGCCUCAAGGCUCUCCGCAGGAACAGGUGAGGCCAUAGUUGUGAUUACAUCACAAGUCAGUUUCUCCUCUGCCCAAGCCUUCUUCCUUCAUUCCUCCACAGAUGCUGAUCCUGAGAUUCCUUUCCAGUAAACUUCCUCCAUGUAAUCUUCAUCUCAGAGUCUGUUUCCUGGGGAAACUAACCUGCAACUGAUACAAAUGCCUAUUCUGUGAGAUAAAACACUAAAAGUACAAUGCGAGUGGUAUAAAUAUUCUGCUACAGGAAUACAAAGUCAGGUAUCAUUUUUGACUUAGGUAGUCAGAGAAUGGAGAUAUUCUGAGUUGGACUUCUGAGAUACUAGGAUUCAAUAGGUGAAGGGAAGAUGAGAUGGUAUAAGACUAACAUAGGCAGAAUUUUGCUAAACGAAUUGGAGAUGAAACAUCAUAAGUGCAGGUGCACAAGUAGAAAAGUAAAAUCAGAGCUCAAGGAAGGGGAAGUGAUCCAGCUGGGCAGAAAUAUGGGGCCUAUAUAGAGAUAUACCAGGAAAUAAAGCCAGGACGAAUGGCAGGGUAGGACCUGAUUGUUAAGGGUCUUAAAUGCUGGGGUCAAGAUUGCGGCCCUUACUUAAAAGUUGGUUGGGCAUGAUUUUGGGAGUUGUAGCAAAAGAUGUGGCAAACUCAAAGCUUCCUUUUCAUGUAAAGUAUAGAGAAGUGGAGGCUCAUAUCAUUAAAUCACUGUAAUUUCAGUGUGAACUUCUAACAAUUUGAGCUAACCAUGAGAUAGGACACCUUAUCAAGCAAUGAGCUCUUCAUUAUCUAAAGAGAUGCUGAAUUUCAAGUCCAUGUAGAGGAAGUCUUGUGUUGACUAGAACAUAAUAUGUUUGGGGGGACUUUUCUUCUUUUUUACUGAUAUUUAGUAACUUGGAUAUUGUGCUAAGUGCUUUACAGGUAUUCUUAUUUAAUCCUCACAAGGCAGUAUGGUAGAUAAUCUAUUAUAUUGAAAAUAAUGGGCCGGGCACAGUGGCUCACGCCUGUAAUCCCAGCACUUUGGGAGGCCGAGGCGGGUGGAUCACCUGAGGUCAGGAGUUCAAGACCAGCCUGACCAACAUGGUGAAACCCUGUCUUUACUAAAAAUACAAAAAUAAGCGUGGCGUAGUAGCUCACACCUGUAGUCCCAGCUACUCAGAAGGCUGAAGCACGAGAAUCACUUGAACCCACGAGGUGGAGGUUACAGUGAGCCAAAAUCACACCACUGGACUCCAGCCUGGGUAAGAGAGCAUGACUAGGUCUCAAAAGAAAGAAAGAAAAUAAUGAACAAAAAAUGUUGAGUGGGCAGUAUUAAAUUUAAAAAAAACCUAAUGUAUUAAAGAAGGAGAAAAGUAUAAAAAUUAGUCAACAAGCAGAGAAACAAAGAAAAUAUAAAGGUAAAAAUGUAUGUUAUCCAAAUGAGACCUCUUAAGAAGAAAAAAUAAAGGAAAUUCAAAAAAUAAGUUAGGAAAUAGUGAGUAAAAUUAUGAAGUUAAAAAUUCACCAAAAAUGUAUUGAUAUGUCCAAGUUCAGCUUGUAGUGAACAGACUCUUCUUAUGCAGAAUUUGAGCAAAGUGCUAACACAACAGAGUUAGGUAAUGGGAUGAGGGUCAGUCAGAUCACUCUAUUUUUGGAAACUGGUUUCAUGACUGCUUCCCCUUACUUAGUCAUAAACAGGCUAUAUAAAAAGCUGUCAGAGUGGAAAGAGGGAGAGGAUUUGUGAAUUUUUUUUUUUAGCAUGUUUUUAUGGUUCUGUAAGUCACCACCCUCCCAAAGGGAUGAAGUUUCGGGGUGCACUCCCCUUACCUCAGCCUAGUAGGGGGACUUCCAGGAGAUAAUGAGAGAGUUGGAUGUUUCCUCAAAUUUAUAGACACAAAGACUGGUGCCUGGCUUCUCCUGAUAAAGCUAAACCUGCAUGUGGCUGGUCUCUAGUUGGCUAGAUAGUAGUAGUUAAAAUGAAAAGAAACACUUAAUGUUAGAUGCCAUCCAAUAGGGCCACCUAAAGGGAUGGAAGGUUCUCAGCAGCAAGAGCCCAGAGGUAGAAGCAAGACUCUUAGCGGGGAAGGAUGGAGUCGCAAGUGAAAACCUAGACAAAGAAGCAUCUGUCCUGGUCCAGAGGCUUCCCCAAUAAAGAUGUCUCACACAACUCUAAGAAGUUAGAACUCGAGAAAAAGACUAACAAGAAAAAGAGUAAGGUGUGUUUGUGGAAGAGGUGAGGCAGUUGUUUUCCUAUAAAUAAUGUUAAAUUAAACUAAAUUUGGUCUGAGGAUGCCUCGUAACUUGAGCCGCUACAUAACAAACUGCAACCUAACUUAGGAGUAUUUUUUUUUUUUGUACUAACGAGGUGAGUCUCAGCCAAUCACAGCAGCCAAGCUACAGCCAAUCCCAUGUGGCCAACUGAUCAGCCUAUGCCCAGUAAGACAACUGCUCACCUGUAACUACUCAAGCUGCUUCUGGACCUCAUUUCCAUUUGCUGUUUAUAAGUGCUGCCUGCCCACUUUGCUGAGCAGAACUCUCUGAACUUCUUUCGUUUUUGAGGGUUACUUGAUUAGAAAAUUGUUCUUUGUUCAAUUAAAUUUUGCUAAAUAU